rnacentral:lncRNA from 1 species
GCCAAUCCCCAAGGUGGUGGCGAGCCAAACGGGGCUGCCGCGGGCGGCUGGAGCUGGACACUGUUUGUAACUGAAACCCUGGCCUGCGGCUUUGGCCACCUGCUCCUGAAACCAGCCCGCUGUUUCCGCCCACUGACCUCAGUUUCCCCAUCUGUGAGCCGGUGAGAAACACACAGCCUCCCGAGCAGCUGCAUGCGGUCAUAUCUUUCCUUUGGGAGACACAAAUCGCAUCCUGUCACUCGCCUCGAGACCCUCCCAGGGUGCCCUGCUGCUCUUAAAGUGAAGACCAACGACCUCCCCGUGGCCCCCGUGGCCCCCAAGUCCCCAGGAGGUCCAGCCCUGCUGCCCUUCCCACAUCAUCUCCCUACAGCACCUCCUUGCAAAGAAGCUCAUCCCUACCUCAGUGCCACCUCCCCUAGGAGGCCCUUCGUGGCUGCCGCAUCUAGAAGGACCCUCCCUCUGCCACGACUGGCUGUGUGUCCCACUUUAUUCAUGCUUUCCACCUCCCUCCCUGGCCCCAGACCAUGAGUCCCACAAGAGCAAGGGUGUGUCUCAGUUGUCGCCAACCCCAGCCCAGGGCCUGGUGCACAGUAGCCACCUGGCCUCCUCCAAGGGCUGGAGCCCAGCCGAAAGGAUGCGGAGAGCGAUCUUCAAGGGAGGGCACGCCGGAUGGCAGCGUCAGCAAACGCUUGAGCAAACGCGAGGAGGUGGCAACUCCAAGAGAGGAGCAUUUGCGGAGCAGCCAGCCCCGCGGCAGCUAAAGCACCUGGGCCAUGGCCUCAGUUUCCCCACCUGGAAGCAGAGGGCAAACGGAGGCUCCCCAAGCGGCGGGGCCGGGACCACUGCCCCCUGGCCUUGUCGGCUGCCAGACCUCCCUCACCCAGAGGCCUGUCUCUUUUGCCACAAAAUUCAGCAUCUCUUGGUUUCAAUCUCAGCCUCUCCCCCUCCCCCUGCCCUCGUCGAAAACCGGAAAAGUCUGUUUUGCAAACUCCGUGGGAGGCGGAAGGGGCGCGGGGCUGCCUGGGAGAGGCGCGCCGCUGCCGCCCCCUGGUGGCCGUGGGGGAACGCGCGGCAACUCGCUUAAGGACGGGGCCGGGCGCGCGGGGCGGGGCCGGG